rnacentral:tRNA from 2 species
GCCCCCUUGGCGGAAUUGGUAGACGCAGUGGACUUAAAAUCCAUCGCCUUCGGGCUUGCGGGUUCGAGUCCCGCAGGGGGCA